GACUAACGUUGGCGGCGUGCCUAAUACAUGCAAGUCGAACGCUUUGGUAGCAAUAUCAGAGAAUGGCGAACGGGUGAGUAACACGUGGAUGAUCUACCUCUAAGAUUGAGAUAACCCAUCGAAAGGUGGGCUAAUACCGAAUAUGACUACGAUCCGUAUCCGGAAUGUAGUAAAAGGCGGGACCGCAAGGCCUGCCACUUAGAGAUGAGUCUGCGGCUGAUAG
rnacentral:rRNA from 1 species